ensembl:antisense Gm10399 predicted gene 10399
UCUCCGGCAACUUCCUCCACCUUGACCAGGAGGAGGGCCUUGUGCGACGAUCCCAGUCCCGCGGGGCCUGGGAGGCAGCGGCCGCGAGCGCUGGCCCGCCGCUGCUGGACGCGCUCCCCGGCUUGUGCACUGAGCGCGGGCUGCGGGGCACCCGGCUACGUCCCAGCCCUGCGGCUCUAUCGCGCUUGUCAUCUGGGUUCUCCGGUGCAGGGGCGGGCCACAGCGCCGCCAUCGCUCAGAGCCCAGGGAAAGAUGAUCCCGCGACCGUCCGGCCAAAAGCAACCACGAGACUCGGGUUCUCGAAUGAACUUGGGUCGAGACCACACGAGAAGAGCGAGUUUCGUUUUCAGGUGCUCCCACGCCUGACCCUCUUGGUCUCCCCAACCCCCAUCCUGGCAGAGCCCCGGAGCGCCACAUUUCCGGGCUCAGCUUUCUGGCAUCCCGAUUCUGUGUCCUAGUGGACACCGCCACAGCUGGGCCCUCGGGAGGAUCUGCCCUUGAAACGGCUCAGAGAGAAAACUUCGUGUUCAAAACAAGGAUGUAGUCAUCGCCGUGGAAUCUUCACUGUGGGCUCUGGGAGGUGGGCGUCCCUCGGCUCAAGUUCUCCGAGUCUUUUUGUGAGUUUAUAAAAUAUUGGGCCGGCUGAGGAUGACAUUCAGGGGUAUAGCGCCCGUGCCCAGCCCUGGAUUCUAUCUCCAGCACUGCCAAACCAAAGUAAAAUAUGGAGAAAAGGCUAAAAUGGGAAUUGA